rnacentral:lncRNA from 1 species
GCUUAAGCAAGUUGAGGGAGUUGAGGACUGGGGAAGCUUGUAAGGCAUAGUUUAAGCAACAAGCAUGUCCUAUUGUGAAGCGAGGCAGACACCUAGCGUCUGGUUCAAAUUCAUUCACUGGUUCCCUAACAGUCUUGGAGGACCUCCCCACAUCUGUGUUGGUCUGCAAUUAACAGAAUUGCUGUAG